CCUACGGGAGGCAGCAGUGGGGAAUUUUGGACAAUGGGCGAAAGCCUGAUCCAGCAAUGCCGCGUGAGUGAAGAAGGCCUUCGGGUUGUAAAGCUCUUUUGUCAGGGAAGAAACGGUGAGGGCUAAUAUCCUUUGCUAAUGACGGUACCUGAAGAAUAAGCACCGGCUAACUACGUGCCAGCAGCCGCGGUAAUACGUAGGGUGCAAGCGUUAAUCGGAAUUACUGGGCGUAAAGCGUGCGCAGGCGGUUUUGUAAGUCUGAUGUGAAAUCCCCGGGCUCAACCUGGGAAUUGCAUUGGAGACUGCAAGGCUAGAAUCUGGCAGAGGGGGGUAGAAUUCCACGUGUAGCAGUGAAAUGCGUAGAUAUGUGGAGGAACACCGAUGGCGAAGGCAGCCCCCUGGGUCAAGAUUGACGCUCAUGCACGAAAGCGUGGGGAGCAAACAGGAUUAGAUACCCUGGUAGUCCACGCCCUAAACGAUGUCUACUAGUUGUCGGGUCUUAAUUGACUUGGUAACGCAGCUACGCGUGAGUAGACCGCCGUCGGGAGGUACGGUCGCGAGAAGUUAAACGUUAAAAGGUAAAGUUAGUACGGACGUGAGACGUAGACCGACGGACGACGACGAGGGAGGAGG
rnacentral:rRNA from 1 species